GAUGAACGCUGGCGGCGUGCUUAACACAUGCAAGUCGAACGGAAAGGCUCCUGCUUGCCGGGGUACUCGAGUGGCGAACGGGUGAGUAACACGUGGGUGAUCUGCCCUGCACUUCGGGAUAAGCCUGGGAAACUGGGUCUAAUACCGGAUAGGACGAUGGUUUGGAUGCCAUUGUGGAAAGUUUUUCGGUGUGGGAUGAGCUCGCGGCCUAUCAGCUUGUUGGUGGGGUAAUGGCCUACCAAGGCGUCGACGGGUAGCCGGCCUGAGAGGGUGUACGGCCACAUUGGGACUGAGAUACGGCCCAGACUCCUACGGGAGGCAGCAGUGAGGAAUAGUGCACAAUGGGCGCAAGCCUGAUGCAGCGACGCCGCGUGGGGGAUGACGGCCUUCGGGUUGUAAACUCCUUUCGCUAGGGACGAAGCGCAAGUGACGGUACCUGGAGAAGAAGCACCGGCUAACUACGUG
rnacentral:rRNA from 1 species